AUGCAGUCGCACGGACCUUUCGGGGUGAGUGGCGGACGGGUGAGUAACGCGUAGGGAUCUAUCCAUGGGUGGGGGAUAACACCGGGAAACUGGUGCUAAUACCGCAUGAUACCUGAGGGUCAAAGGCGCAAGUCGCCUGUGGAGGAGCCUGCGUUCGAUUAGCUUGUUGGUGGGGUAAAGGCCUACCAAGGCGAUGAUCGAUAGCUGGUCUGAGAGGAUGAUCAGCCACACUGGGACUGAGACACGGCCCAGACUCCUACGGGAGGCAGCAGUGGGGAAUAUUGGACAAUGGGCGAAAGCCUGAUCCAGCAAUGCCGCGUGUGUGAAGAAGGUCUUCGGAUUGUAAAGCACUUUCGACGGGGACGAUGAUGACGGUACCCGUAGAAGAAGCCCCGGCUAACUUCGUGCCAGCAGCCGCGGUAAUACGAAGGGGGCUAGCGUUGCUCGGAAUGACUGGGCGUAAAGGGCGCGUAGGCGGUUCAUACAGUCAGAUGUGAAAUUCCAGGGCUUAACCUUGGGGCUGCAUUUGAUACGUAUGGACUAGAGUGUGAGAGAGGGUUGUGGAAUUCCCAGUGUAGAGGUGAAAUUCGUAGAUAUUGGGAAGAACACCGGUGGCGAAGGCGGCAACCUGGCUCAUUACUGACGCUGAGGCGCGAAAGCGUGGGGAGCAAACAGGAUUAGA
rnacentral:rRNA from 2 species